rnacentral:rRNA from 1 species
UACGUAGGGGGCUAGCGUUGUCCGGAUUUAUUGGGCGUAAAGAGCGUGUAGGCGGCCAGAUAGGUCUGCUGUGAAAACUCGAGGCUCAACCUCGAGAUGUCGGCGGAAACCAUUUGGCUAGAGUCCGGAAGAGGAAAGUGGAAUUCCUGGUGUAGCGGUGAAAUGCGCAGAUAUCAGGAGGAACACCGGUGGCGAAGGCGCCCACCUGGCCUGCUACUGACGCUAAAGCGCGAAAGCUAGGGGAGCAAACGGG